UACGGAGGGUGCAAGCGUUAUCCGGAUUCACUGGGUUUAAAGGGUGCGUAGGCGGAUAUGUAAGUCCGUGGUGAAAUCUCUGGGCUUAACCCGGAAACUGCCAUGGAUACUAUGUGUCUUGAAUGUUGUUGAGGUGAGCGGAAUAUGUCAUGUAGCGGUGAAAUGCUUAGAUAUGACAUAGAACACCAAUUGCGAAGGCAGCUGGCUACACAAAUAUUGACACUGAGGCACGAAAGCGUGGGGAUCAAACAGG
rnacentral:rRNA from 1 species